rnacentral:rRNA from 1 species
AGUGAACGCUGGCGGUAGGCCUAACACAUGCAAGUCGAACGGCAGCACAGUAAGAGCUUGCUCUUACGGGUGGCGAGUGGCGGACGGGUGAGGAAUACAUCGGAAUCUACUUUUUCGUGGGGGAUAACGUAGGGAAACUUACGCUAAUACCGCAUACGACCUACGGGUGAAAGCAGGGGAUCUUCGGACCUUGCGCGAUUGAAUGAGCCGAUGUCGGAUUAGCUAGUUGGCGGGGUAAAGGCCCACCAAGGCGACGAUCCGUAGCUGGUCUGAGAGGAUGAUCCGCCACACGGGAACUGAGACACGGUCCAGACUCAUACGAGAGGCAGCAGUGGGGAAUAUUGGACAAUGGGCGCAAGCCUGAUCCAGCCAUACCGCGUGGGUGAAGAAGGCCGUCGGGUUGUAAAGCCCUUUUGUUGGGAAAGAAAAGCAGCAGGUUAAUACCCCGCUGUUCUGACGGUACCCAAAGAAUAAGCACCGGCUAACUUCG